UUUAAAUAUAAAGGACCCAACUUUCGAGAAGACUCUGAUUGUUAGAUAUUCACCAUUUGGUGAAGUUUGGAUUUGUUUCUUCAAAGAUCCUUACACCCCAAGAUACUAUGAUUCUGAGUUUCUCAAGAUUGUAACACUCUAGAAUCCUAAGACUGUAAAGUCUCUGAAGGCUCUACAAUUUUGUAAUUCUUAUGGAAGAACUUUCCAAAGGAAAAUCAAUUUGUGGACUAGCCAGUUCUUAGCUGUCUCUCCUUCUCUACCUGCCCCACCUCCAAUCUGCUUUUAACUUAAAGUCUCAGGUGUUUAUUGUGGUCCAAUGGUUAAGAAUCUGCCUUCCAAUCCAAGGGAAGCAGGUUAGGACAGGGUUAGGGCCUGCCUUCCUUGCCAUUCAACCUGGCAACUAAGCCACAACUAAGACCUAAGGCAGCCAAAUAAACAAACAGUUAAAAGCCUAUUUGUGGAAUACAAAAAUUAUGGCACAUUCAUCCACAGAGUACUUGAUACUAUGUAUUCAAUUAAAAUAGUAAAAGAAAUAUUUACUUUGUAACAAACGAUACAUAACUUUAUACUGCAUUGCCCCGAUUGGGUACACAGAAGAAAAUAAAAGGAAGAACGACAAACAUCAGUCAUGAUUAUUUCUGGUCGGUGGAUUUUUCUUUUCAUUAUUCUUUUCCCACGUUCCCAGUUUUCUAAAUUACGUAUAUGUUUUCACAAUCGGAAAAAACCUUUUAAGUUCAAAUAUGUCAGGCCACACCUGGCGCAGCCACUGUAUUGUCGGGAUAUAGAGAUGAGUCACCUCAAAGGCGAAGGAGGGGCCAGCCGGGCAAGGACAAGGGCUGGCUUUGAAGGGGAGGGACAAGCACUGGAUAGGGUGGGGACUGAUCAGCUAAGUUUGAGUCCAAGCCGGAAGCGCUGACGGUGGCACCCUACCGGGCAAAAUCCAGCGGCAAAGCCUGGGAAUAACGUGGCAGCCGCAAAACGCCAGCGGCGCUGGCCUCGCCCGAGUGGUCCCGGAAGGCCUUCUGGCCCACGCCCUUGGCGAGCUCCCGCC
rnacentral:lncRNA from 1 species